rnacentral:rRNA from 1 species
GACGAACGCUGGCGGCGUGCUUAACACAUGCAAGUCGAACGGAAAGGCCCUGCUUGCCGGGUACUCGAGUGGCGAACGGGUGAGUAACACGUGGGUGAUCUGCCCUGCACUUCGGGAUAAGCCUGGGAAACUGGGUCUAAUACCGGAUAGGAGCCAUUUUUAGUGUGAUGGUUGGAAAGUUUUUUCGGUGUAGGGUGAGCUCGCGGCCUAUCAGCUUGUUGGUGGGGUAAUGGCCUACCAAGGCGGCGACGGGUAGCCGGCCUGGGAGGGUGGACGGCCACAUUGGGACUGAGAUACGGCCCAGACUCCUACGGGAGGCAGCAGUGGGGAAUAUUGCACAAUGGGCGCAAGCCUGAUGCAGCGACGCCGCGUGGGGGAUGACGGCCUUCGGGUUGUAAACUCCUUUCGCUAGGGACGAAGCUUUUUGUGACGGUACCUAGAUAAGAAGCACCGGCUAACUACGUG